UCUCAGUUAGAGAUUAAACAAUGGGGGAAAAAGCGAGGCUAACGAGAAGGCUGCUUUUCAUUACCCUAUCUGAUUUCAUUAGCCUAAUUCACGCUUAUUAAUUAUCGGUCUGAUGAAAUCAUCAAUGCAGGCAAGCCAGGCUCAUGACGGCUACAUUUGGGAAAUAGUCUUACUGAGGCCCUUCCUAUAAGUGCUGAGAUAAUAUGCUGGCUUUACUUCCCCUUUUGGCGAGCUGUCCGACCCUGUAACUCCAUCUGCACCACCUAGGAAGCCAGCAUAUCCCUGGCACAAACGGGGUUUACCACAUAGACCUACUUUGCAUUGUCAACAGAGAGAUAGAAAAAGAGCUGUGAGUUUUCAUUCCUCGAGAGUGAACUCCUGUGAGUUUCGACAAUGUGGGUCAUUAUAGACUGGCUGCCCCCUGAGAUUGGGCAAUUCUCGCUCGCUCGCGUUCUAACAAAGGGCUGCAGAUCUGGCAGGGGUGGGAGUGGACUGGGCCACUCAGAUAAGUUUCAUUCACGGUCGGAGCCCAGGGGAACAGCACUUGGAGGCAGCACCGCGGCAGCUCCUGGUGUAACUUUACACGAUUUUUUCCCCCUUUAAGUCGCUACUGAUCCCUUGGGUUUCCAUGUGUGGGGGAGGGGUAGCGUCAGAGAAAGGCCGUGUGAAAAUGACUGACAGCCUGCUUAUAAAUAAGAUCAUAUAGACGAGCUCGGAAGAUGAAAAGACAGACGAGCCUUCGAAGGUUCCCAGGAACCAUACAUAGGACAAGGCUCCCAGUGUGAUUUUUAUUUUUAAUUUUAUUGUUUGGGCUGUGUCUAAUGACAGCAAACAAUUUACUCUCCAGGUUCAAAUUUGGUUUUUAGCAUGUUUCUUGUUUACAUAAUUACUAGUGAAACGUUCCAUGUUUAAACUUGAUCUUCUCUUUCUGAAACAAGUCUUAUUCUUUCUAAGAGUCCUGAGGGCAAUCAGGAAAAGCAAGAAACCUUGGGCAUCAGAGGACGGCUAAGCAUGUAGUGUGUCCUGACUGAGUUCCCUAAACAACAUGAAGGAGAAUGAUGCAGAGUCUUGUCUUUUAAUUCUCAGGACUAUUCUUUGAGGUCUUGUUUCGUUUUUCCAGGUCUUGGGGGCAGAAGCUAGGGGCAUUCCUAUUCUAGAAGCGUGUAUGUUCGCUCUACGUAAGCGCUCAGCCACCGUGUUACACUCUCAUCCUUUCUUACAGGUACAUUUUAAAGAAGGAAACAACUUACUUAGCACCCUACAGAGAGACAGCAGGCAGAGAAGUAGCAGAUGAGCCACCACUCUUUGUUACACUUUUGAGACCCGGCCACCCUAAGCAUCCAGGCUGGUUUUGAACUUGAGUCUGUCUGUACCCUAGGCAGGUUUUGAACUUGUGAUUCUAGGAAUCCAGGUUUCCAGAUAACUAGAACUGCAUUCCUGCCCAGCUCUGCUGUUCCCAAUCAAAAGUGAGGAAACUGAGGCUGAGAAAUGGCCAAGCUCUUCUUGGUACUCGGAUCCACGAUGUCCUUUAUCUUCCUACCAACCUGGGAAGCCGGAGAUCUCCUCUCCAGCAAGGACAACACAGACCCACACGGCCAGUCCAACCUUCGCAUCCCUCGGGGUCUUCAUUAUUGCCAGUCCAUCUUUCAUCUCGAUCCUUACGACUCUGGAAAUUGGCCUGACCUCUUACCCUCUCCCUUUUAUGAAAACACUAACUCUUCUCACACCUCCCUUUGCCAUACAUGCCAUCCUGUCUGCCCGCCGGCCCCUCCUUGGGUUUUUCCGCCUCUCUAAGCCCUCCUACAAACAGCCAUUUGGAAGCAAUUUCCAGGUCUGCCUCCUUCCUUGUGCAUCUGUCUGUGGUAAUUUAGAGGUUAGGGACUGUGUGUUUUCUCCUUGUCAUGUUUAUGCCUCACACUCUCUGGGUACCUAAUAAAUGCUGAAUAAUAGCAGCUCUAUGACAGUGCAGAACCAGAAACACAGGGUCUUCUAUUUGGUAUCUCAUCACCAGCAAAGCUCAUUUAUUCAUGGUCAGCCCCAGGCAAGGCACACACCGGACUUCAUUAGCAGAGCCCAGAACCUACCUUUGCAUACCAGCUUUUCUCUCUUAUUUUCUUAACAGAACCAAAACAAACAAACAAACAAAACAAACAAACAAACAAAACAAAAAACAAAAGCAAAACCAUGGCUACCACCGACCUUCCCUUCUCGUUAUAUUCUCAGCAUCCUAAAGACAGAGGUAAACAAAACACAGAGCCUCUUGAAUGAGAAGUCAGAGUCAAUGCCAAAGCUGUACGAAAGAGUCAGUUUAUUGCUGUGCGUUCCUGUCCCUGGCCUUCCUUUUUGAUAGCAUGCCAAAAACAAAAAGGAAAAACAAAACAAGACAAGAAAAAGCAAGGAAUUGAAUGACCUAAAAUUUUUAUGUUUUAUAAAUAACAAAAUACCUUUGUGUUUGUGCUAUGUCUAAACUAGCAGAGGAAAUAGAUUAUUAAGCUUGCAUAUUUGGGUCAAAAUGCAUUUGCUUGUUAAAUCAAUACAAUCGACUCAAGGGAGCUUUAGAGUUGGCCCAGGAAAAUACUGCUCUUACUAAGGACCUGAGUCUGUCUCCCAGCACACAACCUCCUGUAACUCCAACUUAACCAGGCUUAACCAGGCUAGAUACAUCUAGCUUCUUUGGAUAUCCCCAGACAUAUUUCAGUAUUCCUUCCCUAUGCAUAUACACAAUUGAAAAUAAAAAAAAAUCACCUUUAAUAUAGAGAUGUAAACUAGCAGUGAUUGUUUCUGCUUUCCAGACUUCCUUUAAUGCACUUCAAUUCUGUUUCUUUCACUCACCUGUGUAGAAAGAAACUGCACACACACACACACACACACACACACACACACAUACACACACCAUGAAAAUAAAAAUCCACUUGUGAAUUGGGAUAUGUUAAUCUAGGAGCUGAUUUUGUUGUUGUUGCUGUUUGUAAUAGUUAAUUCAGUAAAUACUUACCAAAUACUACAACAUUUUUGGCCUUAUGCUAAACAUGGGAGGGUGCUUGUUCAGUGCAGAGCAGAGAUAUGCACAAGUAAUUGAUGAAAUAUGGUAUGAUAUAAGGUAUAUAAUUAUAAAUCCUACAGGAAGACACAUUCUUCUAUGUGUCUGAGAAGACUACAUAUAAGAAGUGACAUUUCAGCUAUGUCAUGGAAAUGAAUGCUUGUUCUCUGUCUGAGGUGGGAAGUGUCUCCUAUAGGGACGAAGAAGAGUGAGCUCAGAGGCAGAUCUUCAGCAGGUAGGUCAUGAAUAGUGAGUUCCUUACUUAGAGGCUGUGGUGAGGAGGGCAAAAGCCAGCUCUGAAUCCCCUGACGACCAAGUCCUCCGGAUAUUCCUUUAGGAAGAUUACAUUUUGUUUUAUGGCCAUUGGGGAAAAUUGUAAGCAGCAAGACAGCAUGACUGACUAUGUUUAUUCCCAGGAAAGAUUUCAACAUUUAAAAAACGGGUUAGGGAUAGUGCAGUCUGUGGGUAAGAGAGAAGUAAGCAGCCAUUAUCCUAGUCAAGGGGAGUGGCAAUGCAGGGCUUGAUUUAGGUGAUAUAAAGGAGGGCUGAAGAAAGACGGGAGUGAGAAGCAUGGAGGGCAGACGGGCAUGGCGGCUGGGCUCUUAGGGGAAAGGAAACCAAGACGUCUGCUUCAUCCCAAACAGCUCAGGAGCUGUCCUGGGAAAUUGCUUCAUAUUAAUUAAUUCAAAUCUCACAAUAACAUUGUGACACAAACCAUACGUGCUGUUUUUUUAGGUUCAAGAAACUGCAGAUGUUGCCGAGUGUCACAAGAGCAUGGGAGUGGGUUUGAACCCUGGUGCCAUGGUCAGAAGAGCUGUGAUCAACACAGUGCCAGAGUUUCCAGGUAAGAGUCAAGAAGUCUCAUGUCUAAGAUCAUAGUAAAUCCUGAAUGUUACUGUUAUAACAAGCGAAAUUCCCUUCAUUCUGCAUUAAAUGCCCUUUCUGUCUAAAAUUCUGUUAGUGAUAGUAAGAUGCCUGGCCAGAAAACAAACACAAAGAAAGUAAAACACAACCUACAGGAAGCAGAAACUUCUGUCCCGCUCUUUUUCUUUAAGGAGUGAAAUCUUCGUUAAAAAGAAAUCUUUGCUGUGACAGAGUGUUCUAGAGAUGAGCCUAGUAUGUGCAUAGAAUAAUGUUAGUUUUCAAAUAGCUAAUCAUCUUUGUUUCAGCUCAUUGGCAAUUUGACUUUCAGUUUUUCAAUAUGACUGAUUGGAAAUACUUAGGAAGCUAUAUUAUCAAAUAAAAAUAGGUCUAAGAUUAGCUGAGCAGAAGUUUCCCCCUGACUGGUGCAGAAGGCUCCUAUUUCACAAGCAGUCAUUAAACAGGGGGCGGGGCGUUUUCUUUGUAUGGCGCGGGCCACCAGAUUUCUCCUGCUGAUUCUGCUUGCCCUUCAUCUCUUCCUGUCACUUCACUUCAGGGUCUCUUGCAUUUGUGGAGACUUGGGAAGGCAUUGGUUUGCAUGAGCAUACAGCCCUGGCCUGAGAUUCACGGAAGAAUCCAGGAUGAAAAAAAAAAAAAAGAAGAAGAAGAAAAAGAAAAGAAAGGACAUAGCCUCCAGCGCUCUCUCCUUUCUUCUCUUUUUAUUUUACCUUUUCCUAUGAAACAUCUUCCUGCAAGGAUCUUCUAUAUACAGUGGAGGAUGCUUUUGAUAUGUAGAUCAAGCAAAAUGGUAAAUACAUGGCCCUGCCUUUCAAGGCUUCCUUAUUCUACAAUGUGCCUCUGGUGGUAGCGUCUGAUUUUUUCAUGAGGGUUUGUACUGUUUGCUCGCUAUCUUCCAUUGCCCCUUACCACAAAAAUUCCUUCCUGAAACCCACAUGCAGCAUUUAAUCUGCCAAGCUGCAGCUCAUUUUUCCUCUCCUUCCUUCUGGAAGAUUGGGAGAGUAAGCCUUUGCUCUGCUUUUCUCCCUGACUUUGAGGGUUCUCGCUCCCCUAAUUGCUACAGUCUGUUGUCUCUUUUUUUUACCUAGGAAUAAACAAAAACAGAAACAACUGAAGGCACACAGAACUCUCUCACUCUCGUGUAACCAUCGCAGGGGGAGUCUGGCCUUCUGGGUCGGGAUUUUUCCACCCCACCGUGGAACCUCAGUUUCAGGACAGUCUGUACGGCAAGUGCUCCGUUUGGCAGAGUCUACAGCUCUGCUGUAGGCGACAGACACCAUGAUUCCCGUGGCUUCAGACUGAAGAGCAGGGUCUCUCAUGAUCAUUCUCGAGAUCAUUUGAGCCCUGAGUCCCACCACUGUUUUCUAGACCUGCAUUUUUCAGGGUCCAGAUUGAGGUGGUAAUGGCUGGGUAGCUGUGAGCAACCCUGUUAGGGACAGUUAGACCCGCUUUGGCUUGAGGGUGGAUGAUUUCAUAUUAGCCAUUUCUCUUGAUCCGAUAUUGCAAGGUCUGUGUUUCCUCUGAUGCUUUGGGACCUAUUGAUAAUGUUCUAAACAUAGAGAAAAUGGGAAAAUGCCCUUUAAAGAAAGGAAAGGCAGAAAAAUAAACGUAGAACUGUUGUCUUUUUUUCUUUUUUAACAAGUGUUAAAACUCGAAGAGGAAAAUGGCAUCUUUUAACGUUACCUGCCCUUCUGUCUUGGUCUUCCAUAGUAUCUCACAAUGGAGAGAAAGAUUUGGAAGUAACCAUUAAAUAAAUGUUUUAAUUUUAUAUUACUUUGAGUAACAUAGUACUAAAGAAACAAGAAUAUAAUUUUAAAUAAGAACAGAAGUAUAUUAACAUGCUAACAAUGUGAAUUCUAUGAACUCGACCUUAACAUAUAGUUUUAUUUUGUCUUUCACAGCAAGAAAGCUAAGUCCUACAUGAAAUCUUACAAACCAAGAAAAAAAAGGAUCACCUGUUGAACGUUUGAUGACACACACAUGGGUUCUACUGUUCUUAGAAGACUGAGAGAGCGAUUCUGACUCAAGGGUUAGCUACGAGCAUCCUGGAAGAGAAGGAAUUUCACUGAGCCUGGAAAUAUAACCAGGAGUUUGAAAUGUAGGAAAGACUGAAGACAAAUACUUGUCACUGUGAGAUCACAUGGGAAGCUGUGAGCAGUGGUUGCCUGUCUAGAGACUGGGGUCGGGCAGGGGCAAUUGUGAGUUCAAGGACAACCUGGGUAGUAUAGCAAGCUUGAAUGAGCCAGCUUGGACUACAGAAGGUGACACUGCCCCCCCCCCCCCAAAUCACAGAAGAAUAAAAGAAGUUCACAUCACAGAAUCAUUCAUUUAUUCUGACUAAGAAUGCUUUUGCACAGAACGAAGUGGACAAAUUUUCAUUAAAAAGUAGGGGUGCACUCACUGGAGUAUGGUCACAGCCCCAGGGGCCAGCCCCUUAUAGAAAUUCCAGUCCUUUCCCACCUGCACCCCUCAGAAGCCACCGAUUGUGGAAAGCUGUACUUCAGCAUCCUUGUCGCAAGUUUUAAGGGAUUUCUUCAGUAGCUUUCUGUCUAGGCUGUUACCUUUUGGGAUGGGGGUAGGAAUGGUAGGAGUUGUCACAGACACCUUCCAUGUCUCUCUUUCUCAUCUCUUGAGUCUGCAGUCAUCAAUACCAUGGCAAAAACAGCCUUCUUGCCCUUUAUAGGACUUACACAUGGUUUCUGGAGUCAGCAUGGACCAUGGACCGCCACAAGGUCUCUAGUGGCAGGCAGCACGUGCCCUGGACCUCAGCUUAAUGGAGAAGAAAGUAGGCAUAUGCAGCCAAGAAGAAAAGUUGAAACGAUGAAUAGUCUUUGCUUCGGUGCCAGAAUUAAGAUAUGUUUCCUUCUGAUUGUGUAAGAUAAAUAAGGUUGAAAGCUGGAACACCGUCAAAGUCAGUUUAUUCAAUGAAGCAAAUAAAUGUGCAAAUAAAUAAA